GCGGUGGUAGCUCAGCUGGUAGAGCACGAGCUUCCCAAGCUCGGGGUCGCGGGUUCGAAUCCCGUCCGCCGCUCAC
rnacentral:tRNA from 1 species